AUUGAACGCUGGCGGAAUGCUUUACACAUGCAAGUCGAACUGCAGCACGGGGCAACCUGGUGGCGAGUGGCGAACGGGUGAGUAAUACAUCGGAACGUGCCCAAUCGUGGGGGAUAACGUAGCGAAAGCUACGCUAAUACCGCAUACGAUCUACGGAUGAAAGCGGGGAUCGCAAGACCUCGCGCGCAUGGAGCGGCCGAUGGCAGAUUAGGUAGUUGGUGGGGUAAAGGCUCACCAAGCCGACGAUCUGUAGCUGGUCUGAGAGGACGACCAGCCACACUGGGACUGAGACACGGCCCAGACUCCUACGGGAGGCAGCAGUGGGGAAUUUUGGACAAUGGGCGCAAGCCUGAUCCAGCCAUUCCGCGUGCAGGAUGAAGGCCUUCGGGUUGUAAACUGCGUUUGUACGGAACGAAAAGGCUCUGGUGAACCCCCGGGUUUCUUGACGGUACCGUAAGAAUAAGCACCGGCUAACUACGUGCCAGCCGCCGCAGUAA
rnacentral:rRNA from 1 species